GCCCAUGUAGCUCAGUGGAAAGAGCAACUGUUUUGCAUGCUCAAGAUCACUGGUUCAAUCCGUGUCAUCUCCACAUGGGCU